GUAGAUACUAAGAAAGACAAAAUUGAGCCCUCAAAUGAAUCCAUCCUCUUCCAUAACCCACACAACACUACAACAUACUGGCUAAUCUGGCUGCAAGAAAGAUUGGGAAAUGGAUUCUUUUAUGCCCAGUGGCAAAAUAUCCUGCUAAAAACUGGGACCCUGAUACUCUGGAGAAGAGGAGAAUGUGUGUUGGGGCAGACAGGCAGCAGUGUCUGUCUCAAGGCUUCAUCAGAAGGGCCUUGAGGUGGAGAGGAGACAAAGGUCAGUGCAGUAGAGAACUGGAGGAAGUCAGGGUUGAAUGUUCCCCACGUGGACAGUGACAUUGCCAAGAAUGAUGUUGGGAUGCAGUCAGAUGGCCGAGUCAUUGAAAGAUUAGUGACCUGGAGCCCAGGAGGAAGAGGUGGUUGCAUGAACCUCAAAGGAGGAGACUGUUGAAAACUCCAUGCUGGUAGGCCAGCUGUUGGCAAGAGGCAUGUCUCUCUGUCCCGCCGGACUUGGGAAGUGGGAGCCCUGCUGCUGGACUCGUUUCCUUGUGGACUUCAUGGGAACAUGGGACUGGGGAGCACAGGGUGACCUGUCAGUGAGCUUGACUUCACCUAGAGUGGCCUCUCCUCAUAGAGAAAGGAGAGGAAGAGCCUCUUGCUUGGGCUCUGCUCACCUUGUAGGAUUCAUCUUCCCACUUGUAUGCAGCUGUCUCCAUUAUGAACAUGAUUUGUGGGCAGUUUGGUUUUGAGACUUGCUGCCCUGCCUUAAACCCCAGUUCCUGGCUCUUACCUCAUGUGACCCAGUUUGACUUUUCUGUUUCCAGAUCUCAACUCAGAUCCUGGACAAGGCAUGAUAAUUAUUUUACAUGAUCUGUCUUGCUUACAUGCAAAGGGAGUAGCCAUCUUGUGGAUUAUUCACAGGCAUUUUUUGGUUUUUAUUGCUGCUUUUUAAAAAUCCUGGAAUGACCUCCUUGGGCCUCUAGCAUGAUUAGGGGCUGCUCAGCGCUUCCCUAUAAAACUCUCUACCUGUCCAGCUGAGAUAUAAUAUUCUUUCCAUUUGUGUUGUGCUUUAUGGUUUAUAGACAUUCUUCACACAUUUGCUCCUCUGAUCCUCAUAAAGAAACUGUGUUGGAGGUAGACGUAACUUAUUACUUGUUUCCAGUCAGAAGCCUAGUCUCAGAGGUCACCCAGCCAGCUUGUGGAAGACCUGGGUUUGAACCCAGGUGGUCUGUCUCUCGUUCUCAAGUGUACGAGUUCAGAGUAAGCAAGAGGAUGUUAGUUCUUGGCCUGAACAGAAUCUGCUUAGUUGAUCUGCUGUGGCUGAAAAAUUUGUCUGCAUAUCUGACCACAUCUAAACCAGCCUUUGAUUGUUCACGUUUGGUAUCAUCUGUGGCCCAGCUCCCUUUGGUUGGCAAUGUGCAGAGCACAUUUCCAGUGUUGAGACUGUUUUGCUCUAUGCAAUUCCAUUCUGAUUGGAUCGGUUUGCGCAGGUCCCAGCCUCACCGAUGUCACAGCAAGCGUGGUAUGCUGUAGCUCAGAAAGCUGGCCCAGCCCUGGUUCUGUGCAGGCCUGUGUGUGUGUGGUUCCUCGCAUGGGUAUUAGCUCUGUUACCCUGGGCAUACCGCUUAAUAUUUGCAGCCCUCUGCCUUGCCAUUGCACAAUUAGGGUAGAAACAGGUAGUUGCCAGGCCAUUGUUUACCCCUGCCAACCUCAGUUGUCAUCUGUAAACUGGGGAUCAUGAUUGCCACUGCAGAGUAUUGCAAAGAUUAAAUAAAUUAGAGCCCAGCACCAGGCCUGGCAAUAUAGCUGGAGCUUCGCAAAUGUUCCAUCUCCUUGCCCUUUCUCUUCCACUUUAUCUUUUGAAAGUGUUUGGAGAGCCUCCUAAAAAGUGACAUGGAGGGGCACCUGGGAGGCUCAGUCGGUGAAGCAUCUGACUUCGGCUCAGGUCAUGAUCUCGUGGUUCGUGAGUUGGAGCCCCACAUCGGGCUCGCUCCUGUCAGCCUGUCAAUGUAGAGUCCGCUUCAGAUCCUGUCCGCCAUCACUACCCCUCCCCCACGUGCACUCUCAAAAACUUAAAAAAAGAAA